UCUCGAUAGCGUAAAAGUUAACUCAAAUUUGUAUGGAGUGCGAUCGUUUGCAUACGUUUGCCGCUAGGGGCGCUGUUCCAACUGCAUACAAAAUUAGGUUAACUUUUACGCUAUCGA
rnacentral:pre_miRNA from 9 species